CUUUGGGAGCUUGAGGAGGAUAAACUGGAGGGCAUCAACUGGGGGAGGUUGUAGUGUAGGAGUUUGGGUGAGGGGGCCCGAGCCCAUCUGUUUGGACUUGAGGGAAAGUGGCUUGGGGUUAGAGUCGGGGGAGGAUCAGAAUGUCUUGCCCAAGGUUAAGAAGCUGGUGGAACUUGAUUUCAGAACCCAGAGCUCCCUGGCUUCAGCCCUAGUGCUCCUGCCAGCACUACAGCUGCUCCACUGACUGGUGAUGGAAGCACUGUCUUCCCCGUCUAAGAGAAAUGCACUUCAGAAACAUGUUUCCAAAAAAUGUUUCUAAGGGUUUUAUUUCUAACAAGAGGAAAAUAAUAAAAUAAAAUUAAAAUAGGCUUCAGUUGGAACCAAGUUUCUUGUUUUGCUUUUUUUUUUCUUUUGAACAAAUUAAUUACACACCAACAAUCUUCUUUUAUUACAACAUGAACCCAGGAGGAGGAAAGGAGACAGGGGAGGACAGGGAGGGAGGACUGAGGUGGUUGUGAGGACAAGCACCAAAAGCUUUCUUCAGAUCACAGGGAGCCCUGUUCAGCUCCCCAGCCAAAUUCCUUUAAAAUAAAAAACUGUGAGCACGGCUAUGUGAAGUUUCCUCCUCCUGGGUGGAACAGUCAGGGGAAGGGAGAGGGAGAAGGGGGUAGGAAGGAAGGAAAAGAGGGGAGGAGAGUGGGGGCAGGGGUUAGUGUAGCAUGGCCUGGCCAGGACCAGAACUGGGGAGAGAAGGGAGGAGAGUCCCCCAGUUUGCAUAUACACUGGCCUUGUCUCUGGAAUGGUGAUGGCCCAGCCCCAGCCACCCCCCUGCCCACCAGCCCAUCCAUCUAUCUGCCUCAGGUGUCUGGGAAUGCUGGUUAGAGGCUACCAGGGAGGGAAGACUCCAGGGGCCGGCCCCCAGGAGCUGAGGUCUGAACAAUACCUUGGAGUCAGAAUACAAAAGUCAAGGGACUCAGGGGUGGGCUUGAUGGUCAGAAAGAGGAUCCUUGAGGCCGAGGGGGGUCUCUGUCAGGGUCUGUGCUAGGCUCAGCCACUGUCACAACUGUUGCUGAGGCGGCUGCUGUGGGCAGGGCAGAUGCAGCCGGGGAGUCAGAGUGGAGAAAGGGGCCGAGGGGCCUGAAGUGGUCCCUUCCGCCGGUUCCAAGCCAUUCUGGUUCUCCUGGGUGCUGGGGCUGCCAGUGGUGGGGAUGGGUGCAGGGGGGCCCUCACCCCCAGUCUCCUCCUCCAGCUCUUCCUCCUCCU
rnacentral:lncRNA from 10 species